AUUGAACGCUGGCGGCAGGCCUAACACAUGCAAGUCGAGCGGAUGAAGGGAGCUUGCUCCUGGAUUCAGCGGCGGACGGGUGAGUAAUGCCUAGGAAUCUGACUGGUAGUGGGGGAUAACGUCCGGAAACGGGCGCUAAUACCGCAUACGUCCUGAGGGAGAAAGUGGGGGAUCUUCGGACCUCACGCUAUCAGAUGAGCCUAGGUCGGAUUAGCUAGUUGGUGGGGUAAAGGCCUACCAAGGCGACGAUCCGUAACUGGUCUGAGAGGAUGAUCAGUCACACUGGAACUGAGACACGGUCCAGACUCCUACGGGAGGCAGCAGUGGGGAAUAUUGGACAAUGGGCGAAAGCCUGAUCCAGCCAUGCCGCGUGUGUGAAGAAGGUCUUCGGAUUGUAAAGCACUUUAAGUUGGGAGGAAGGACAGUAAGUUAAUACCUUGCUGUUUUGACGUUACCAACAGAAUAAGCACCGGCUAACUUCGUG
rnacentral:rRNA from 1 species